rnacentral:rRNA from 1 species
UACGUGGGUGGCAAGCGUUGUCCGGAAUUAUUGGGCGUAAAGCGCGCACAGGCGGUCUCUUAAGUCUGAUGUGAAAGCCCACGGCUUAACCGUGGAGGGUCAUUGGAAACUGGUCGACUUGAGUGCAGAAGAGGGAAGUGGAAUUCCAUGUGUAGCGGUGAAAUGCGUAGAGAUAUGGAGGAACACCAGUGGCGAAGGCGGCUUCCUGGUCUGUAACUGACACUGAGGCGCGAAAGCGUGGGGAGCAAACAGGAUUAGAUA